UACGUAGGGUGCAAGCGUUGUCCGGAAUUACUGGGCGUAAAGCGCACGUAGGCGGUCUUUUAAGUCGGGGGUGAAAUCCUGGAGCUCAACUCCAGAACUGCCUUCGAUACUGGAAGACUCGAGUCCGGGAGAGGUGAGUGGAACUGCGAGUGUAGAGGUGAAAUUCGUAGAUAUUCGCAAGAACACCAGUGGCGAAGGCGGCUCACUGGCCCGGUACUGACGCUGAGGUGCGAAAGCGUGGGGAGCAAACAGG
rnacentral:rRNA from 1 species